UAUGGGUGUUGGUUAUGGGGUCCCCCAUUGAUCCCCAUUAUGGGUGUUGGUUAUGGGGUCCCCCAUUGAUCCCCAUUAUAUGGGUCCCCCCAUUGCCCCCCAUGCAGGUUCUUCCGGCGGGGCUGGGUGACCUUUGACCGCAGUGUGAACAUCAAGGAGAUCUGCUGGAGCCUGCAGAACAUCCGGGUCAGGCUGGGGUUUGGGGUGAAAUUGGGGGAUUUUGGGGUUUUUUGGGGUAUUUUUGGGUUUUUUUGGGUGAUUUUGGGGGUUUUGGGGUGAUUUUGGGGUAUUUUUGGUGUGUUUUGGGGUGGUUUAGUGGGGGGAGUUGAGUACCUAUGGGUGCCUAUGGGUGUUUAUGGUACCUAUGGGUGCCUAUGGUAUCUAUGGGUGCCCUAUGGGUACCUAUGGGUGCCCUAUGGGUACCUAUGGGUGCCCUAUGCGUACCUAUGGGUACCUAUGAGUGCCUACGGUGCCUAUGGGUGCCUAUGGUAUCUGUGGGUACCUAUGGGUACCUAUGGCUGCCUAUGGGGACCUAUGGGUGCCUAUGGUAUCUAUGGGUGCCCUAUGGUUUCUAUGGGUGCCUAUGGGUACCUAUGGCUGCCCUAUGUUACCUAUGGUGCCUAUGGGUGCCCUACGGUUCCUAUGGGUACCUAUGGGUGUCCUAUGGGUACCUAUGGUAUCUAUGGUACCUAUGGGUGCCUAUGGGUCCCCUACGGUACCUAUGGUACAUAUGGGUGCCUAUGGUGCCUAUGGAUGUCUAUGGGUACCUAUGGGUGCCCUAUGGUACCUAUGGUUCCUAUGGGUGUCUAUGGUACCUAUGGUAUCUAUGAUUGUUCUAUGGGUACUUAUGGGUGUCUAUGGGUGCCUAUGGUAUCUAUGGGUGCCUAUGGGUGUCUAUGGUACCUAUGGGUGUCUAUGGGUCCCUAUGGGUACCUAUGGGUGUCUAUGGUACCUAUGGGUACCUAUGGAUAUCUAUGGGUCCCUAUGGGUACCUAUGGGUCCCUAUGGGUCCCUAUGGAUGUCUAUGGGUACCUAUGGAUGUCUAUGGAUGUCUAUGUGUCCCUAUGUGUCCCUAUGUGUCCCUAUAUGUCCCUGUAUGUAUUACAGCUCCGUGACUGUGAGCUGAGCCCGGG
rnacentral:lncRNA from 14 species